rnacentral:rRNA from 2 species
AGAGUUUGAUCAUGGCUCAGGACGUACGCUGGCGGCGUGCCUAAUACAUGCAAGUCGUGCGGACCUUUUAAAAGCUUGCUUUUAAAAGGUUAGCGGCGGACGGGUGAGUAACACGUGGGUAACCUGCCUGUAAGAUCGGGAUAACGCCGGGAAACCGGGGCUAAUACCGGAUAGUUUUUUCCUCCGCAUGGAGGAAAAAGGAAAGACGGCUUCGGCUGUCACUUACAGAUGGGCCCGCGGCGCAUUAGCUAGUUGGUGGGGUAACGGCUCACCAAGGCAACGAUGCGUAGCCGACCUGAGAGGGUGAUCGGCCACAUUGGGACUGAGACACGGCCCAAACUCCUACGGGAGGCAGCAGUAGGGAAUCUUCCGCAAUGGACGAAAGUCUGACGGAGCAACGCCGCGUGAGUGAAGAAGGCCUUCGGGUCGUAAAACUCUGUUGCCGGGGAAGAACAAGUGC